UACGUAGGGUGCGAGCGUUGUCCGGAAUUAUUGGGCGUAAAGGGCUCGUAGGCGGUUUUGUCGCGUCGGGGAGUGAAAAACACCGGGCUUAACUCGGUGCUUGCUUUCGAUACGGGCAGACUAGAGGCAUGCAGGGGGAGAACGGAAUUCCUGGUGUAGCGGUGAAAUGCGCAGAUAUCAGGAGGAACACCAAUGGCGAAGGCAGAUCUCUGGGGCCGUAACUGACGCUGAGGAGCGAAAAGCAUGGGGGAGCGAACAGG
rnacentral:rRNA from 1 species